AUCUGGGCGGCGGAAUUCAGGAUGGCUGGCGGGCUUCGCGCUCGUCCGGCCGUUUGAUGUUUCCGUCGCCGUGUCGGACGUCGCGACCUGUUCGUCGUCGGUCCCUGCUCGGAGGAAUCGCGAUCGAGUUCGUUGCGCGGUGCGUUUCGGCGUGCCGGGCGGCGAAGACGCGGCUCUCUGGCUGACGGCGGACAGUAAGCAACGGUGUCCGGCGUCGUGUCUCGCACUCGAUGCCGGUGCCGGUCUGCGACGAUUUCUUCGGGCCUCUUUCCGACCCGUCUUGAAACACGGACCAAGGAGUCUAACAUGCGCGCGAGUCGCGGGGUUUCGAGCGUACCACGGUGCGCUCGUUACUUGCGAAACCCGUACGUUGAAGGCGUAAUGAAAGUGAACAGGGAAGAUGGCGUUCCGCGUCCACGUACCGUGAUCGAGUGUCGCGGCCGGACGUCCGCACUCCCGGGGCGUCUCAAUGGCUCGUCGCGGACGCGGACGAUCGUCUUUCGGGGCGGUCGUCGGUCUGCGCCGGACCGAGGCGCACCUAUAGCGUGCACGUUGGUACCCGAAAGAUGGUGAACUAUGCC
rnacentral:rRNA from 1 species